rnacentral:rRNA from 1 species
CGUCAGGACGAACGCUGGCGGCGGUGCUUAACACAUGCAAGUCGAACGAGGAGUAUACUUUGGAAGGGCUUCGGCCGGAACGGGGGAAGUAUUCGAGGUGGCGGACGGGUGAGUAACGCGUGAACAAUCUGUCCCAGACAGGGGGAUAACACUUGGAAACAGGUGCUAAUACCGCAUAAGACCACGGGAUCGCAUGUUCCUGAGGUAAAAAGGUGCAAACCGGUUUGGGGUGAGUUCGCGUCCGAUUAGAUAGUUGGUGAGGUAACGGCCCACCAAGUCGACGAUCGGUAGCCGACCUGAGAGGGUGAUCGGCCACAUUGGAACUGAGAGACGGUCCAAACUCCUACGGGAGGCAGCAGUGGGGAAUAUUGGGCAAUGGGCGAAAGCCCUGACCCAGCAACGCCGCGUGAGUGAAGAAGGCUUUCGGGUUGUAAAGCUCUGUUAUAGGGGACGAAGGAAGUGACGGUACCCUAUAAGGAAGCCCCGGCUAACUACGUGCCAGCCGCAGC